rnacentral:rRNA from 1 species
AUACGGAGGUUCCAAGCGUUAUCCGGAUUCAUUGGGUUUAAAGGGUCCGCAGGCGGGAAAAUAAGUCAGUGGUGAAAGCCUACAGCUCAACUGUAGAACUGCCAUUGAUACUGUUUUUCUUGAGUAUAGAUGAGGUGGGCGGAAUAUAUCAUGUAGCGGUGAAAUGCAUAGAUAUGAUAUAGAACACCGAUUGCGAAGGCAGCUCACUAAACUAUUACUGACGCUCAGGGACGAAAGCGUGGGGAGCGAACAGGAGUAGAUACCCUAGUAGUCC